rnacentral:rRNA from 1 species
UGGGGAAUUUUGCAAAAUGGGGGAAACCCUGAUGCAGCGACGCCGCGUGAUUUAGAAGGCCUUCGGGUUGUAAAAAUCUUUUUUAUGGGAAGAAAAUGACAGUACCAUGUGAAUAAGGACCGGCUAAUUACGUGCCAGCAGCCGCGGUAAUACGUAAGGUCCGAGCGUUGUCCGGAAUCAUUGGGCGUAAAGGGUACGUAGGCGGGUAAGCAAGUUAGAAGUGAAAUCCUAUAGCUCAACUAUAGUAUGCUUUUAAAACUGCUCAUCUUGAGGUAUGGAAGGGAAAGUGGAAUUCCUAGUGUAGCGGUGAAAUGCGCAGGUAUUAGGAGAAAUACCGGUGGCGAAGGCGACUUUCUGGCCAUAACCUGACGCUGAGGUACGAAAGCGUGGGUAGCAAACAGG